rnacentral:rRNA from 1 species
UACGAAGGGGGCGAGCGUUGUUCGGAAUUACUGGGCGUAAAGGGCGCGUAGGCGGCCGAUCAAGUCAGAUGUGAAAGUCCUGGGCUUAACCUGGGGACUGCAUUUGAUACUGAUUGGCUUGAAUGCAGGAGAGGAUAGCGGAAUUCCCAGUGUAGAGGUGAAAUUCGUAGAUAUUGGGAAGAACACCGGUGGCGAAGGCGGCUAUCUGGACUGUGAUUGACGCUGAGGCGCGAAAAGCGUGGGGGAGCAAAACAGG